rnacentral:rRNA from 1 species
UACGUAGGGUGCGAGCGUUAAUCGGAAUUACUGGGCGUAAAGGGUGCGCAGGCGGUUAUAUAAGACAGAUGUGAAAUCCCCGGGCUCGACCUGGGAACUGCGUUUGUGACUGUAUGACUAGAGUACGGUAGAGAGGGGUGGAAUUCCUGGUGUAGCAGUGAAAUGCGUAGAUAUCAGGAGGAACAUCGAUGGCGAAGGCAGCCCCUUGGACCUGUACUGACGCUUCAUGCACGAAAGCGUGGGGAGCAAACAGG